rnacentral:rRNA from 1 species
UACAGAGGUCUCAAGCGUUGUUCGGAUUCAUUGGGCGUAAAGGGUGCGUAGGCGGCGCGGUAAGUCGGGUGUGAAAUCUCGGAGCUUAACUCCGAAACUGCAUUCGAUACUGCCGUGCUUGAGGACUUGGAGAGAGACUGGAAUUUACGGUGUAGCGGUGAAAUGCGUAGAUAAUCGUAAGGAAGACCAGUGGCGAAAGGGCGGGGUCUCUGGACAGUUCCUGACGCUGAGGCACGAAGGCCAGGGGAGCAAACGGG